UACGUAGGGCGCAAGCGUUGUCCGGAAUUAUUGGGCGUAAAGAGCUCGUAGGCGGUUUGUCGCGUCUGCUGUGAAAACCUAAGGCUCAACCUUGGGCUUGCAGUGGGUACGGGCAGACUAGAGUGUGGUAGGGGAGACUGGAAUUCCUGGUGUAGCGGUGAAAUGCGCAGAUAUCAGGAGGAACACCGGUGGCGAAGGCGGGUCUCUGGGCCGAUACUGACACUGGAGGAGCGAAAAGCGUUGGGGGAGCGAAACAGG
rnacentral:rRNA from 1 species